AGUGAACGCUGGCGGUAGGCCUAACACAUGCAAGUCGAACGGCAGCACAGUAAGAGCUUGCUCUUACGGGUGGCGAGUGGCGGACGGGUGAGGCAUACAUCGGAAUCUACUUUUUCGUGGGGGAUAACGUAGGGAAACUUACGCUAAUACCGCAUACGACCUACGGGUGAAAGCAGGGGAUCUUCGGACCUUGCGCGAUUGAAUGAGCCGAUGUCGGAUUAGCUAGUUGGCGGGGUAAAGGCCCACCAAGGCGACGAUCCGUAGCUGGUCUGAGAGGAUGUUCCGCCACACUGGAACUGAGACACGGUCCAGACUCCUACGGGAGGCAGCAGUGGGGAAUAUUGGAGCAUGCGCGCAAGCCUGAUCCAGCCAUACCGCGUGGGUGAAGAAGGCCUUCGGGUUGUAAAGCCCUUUUGUUGGGAAAGAAAAGCAGCAGGUUAAUACCCCGCUGUUCUGGCGGUACCCAAAGAAUAAGCACCGGCUAACUUCGUG
rnacentral:rRNA from 1 species